GAUGAACGCUGGCGGCGUGCCUAAUACAUGCAAGUCGAGCGAACGGACGAGAAGCUUGCUUCUCUGAUGUUAGCGGCGGACGGGUGAGUAACACGUGGAUAACCUACCUAUAAGACUGGGAUAACUUCGGGAAACCGGAGCUAAUACCGGAUAAUAUUUUGAACCGCAUGGUUCAAAAGUGAAAGACGGUCUUGCUGUCACUUAUAGAUGGAUCCGCGCUGCAUUAGCUAGUUGGUAAGGUAACGGCUUACCAAGGCAACGAUGCAUAGCCGACCUGAGAGGGUGAUCGGCCACACUGGAACUGAGACACGGUCCAGACUCCUACGGGAGGCAGCAGUAGGGAAUCUUCCGCAAUGGGCGAAAGCCUGACGGAGCAACGCCGCGUGAGUGAUGAAGGUCUUCGGAUCGUAAAACUCUGUUAUUAGGGAAGAACAUAUGUGUAAGUAACUGUGCACAUCUUGACGGUACCUAAUCAGAAAGCCACGGCUAACUACGUGCCAGCAGCCGCGGUAAUACGUAGGUGGCAAGCGUUAUCCGGAAUUAUUGGGCGUAAAGCGCGCGUAGGCGGUUUUUUAAGUCUGAUGUGAAAGCCCACGGCUCAACCGUGGAGGGUCAUUGGAAACUGGAAAACUUGAGUGCAGAAGAGGAAAGUGGAAUUCCAUGUGUAGCGGUGAAAUGCGCAGAGAUAUGGAGGAACACCAGUGGCGAAGGCGACUUUCUGGUCUGUAACUGACGCUGAUGUGCGAAAGCGUGGGGAUCAAACAGGAUUAGAUACUCUGGUAGUCCACGCCGUAAACGAUGAGUGCUAAGUGUUAGGGGGUUUCCGCCCCUUAGUGCUGCAGCUAACGCAUUAAGCACUCCGCCUGGGGAGUACGACCGCAAGGUUGAAACUCAAAGGAAUUGACGGGGACCCGCACAAGCGGUGGAGCAUGUGGUUUAAUUCGAAGCAACGCGAAGAACCUUACCAAAUCUUGACAUCCUUUGACAACUCUAGAGAUAGAGCCUUCCCCUUCGGGGGACAAAGUGACAGGUGGUGCAUGGUUGUCGUCAGCUCGUGUCGUGAGAUGUUGGGUUAAGUCCCGCAACGAGCGCAACCCUUAAGCUUAGUUGCCAUCAUUAAGUUGGGCACUCUAAGUUGACUGCCGGUGACAAACCGGAGGAAGGUGGGGAUGACGUCAAAUCAUCAUGCCCCUUAUGAUUUGGGCUACACACGUGCUACAAUGGACAAUACAAAGGGCAGCGAAACCGCGAGGUCAAGCAAAUCCCAUAAAGUUGUUCUCAGUUCGGAUUGUAGUCUGCAACUCGACUACAUGAAGCUGGAAUCGCUAGUAAUCGUAGAUCAGCAUGCUACGGUGAAUACGUUCCCGGGUCU
rnacentral:rRNA from 1 species